rnacentral:rRNA from 1 species
AGAGUUUGAUCCUGGCUCAGGAUGAACGCUGGCGGCGUGCCUAACACAUGCAAGUCGAACGGAUCCAUAUUGAAACCUAGUGAUGUAUGGAUUAGUGGCGGACGGGUGAGUAACGCGUGGAUAACCUGCCGUAUACAGGGGGAUAACACUUAGAAAUAGGUGCUAAUACCGCAUAAGCGCACGGUUCCGCAUGGAACAGUGUGAAAAACUCCGGUGGUAUACGAUGGAUCCGCGUCUGAUUAGCCAGUUGGCGGGGUAACGGCCCACCAAAGCGACGAUCAGUAGCCGGCCUGAGAGGGUGAACGGCCACAUUGGGACUGAGACACGGCCCAAACUCCUACGGGAGGCAGCAGUGGGGAAUAUUGCACAAUGGGGGAAACCCUGAUGCAGCGACGCCGCGUGAGUGAAGAAGUAUUUCGGUACGUAAAGCUCUAUCAGCAGGGAAGAAAAAAAGUCCUUUGGACUUUGGACGGUACCUGACUAAGAAGCCCCGGCUAACUACGUGCCAGCAGCCGCGGUAAUACGUAGGGGGCAAGCGUUAUCCGGAUUUACUGGGUGUAAAGGGAGCGUAGACGGCAGCGCAAGUCUGGAGUGAAAUGCCGGGGCCCAACCCCGGAACUGCUUUGGAAACUGUGCAGCUGGAGUGCAGGAGAGGUAAGCGGAAUUCCUAGUGUAGCGGUGAAAUGCGUAGAUAUUAGGAGGAACACCAGUGGCGAAGGCGGCUUACUGGACUGUAACUGACGUUGAGGCUCGAAAGCGUGGGGAGCAAACAGGAUUAGAUACCCUGGUAGUCCACGCCGUAA